GGACUACCAGGGUAUCUAAUCCUGUUUGCUCCCCACGCUUUCGCGCCUCAGCGUCAGUAACGGUCCAGAUGGCCGCCUUCGCCACCGGUGUUCUUCCCAAUAUCUACGAAUUUCACCUCUACACUGGGAAUUCCACCAUCCUCUCCCGCACUCAAGCCUGCCAGUUCCGAGUGCACCUCCGGGGUUGAGCCCCGGGCUUUCACACCCGACUUAACAGGCCGCCUACGCGCCCUUUACGCCCAGUAACUCCGAACAACGCUAGCCCCCUUCGUAUUACCGCGGCUGCUGGCAC
rnacentral:rRNA from 1 species